rnacentral:pre_miRNA from 15 species
UUCAGACUCCUUCAGCAGCCAGUCACAUCCCCUUAUCACUUUUCCAGCCCAGCUGUGUGAUUCUAAGUGUUGGACGGAGAACUGAUAAGGGUAGGUGACUGACACGCACACGGAAAGGCCUU